GCCCGCUCAGAAACUACAAAGGAAGUUGACGGGGCCCGCACAAGCGGUGGAGUAUGUGGUUAAUUCGAUGCAACGCGAAGAACCUUACCUGGUCUUGACAUCCCGGAGACCCUUAGGAAACUAGGGGGUGCUUCCAUCUGGAAGAAUCUGGAGACAGGUGCUGCAUGGCUGUCGUCAGCUCGUGUCGUGAGAUGUUGGGUUAAGUCCCGCAACGAGCGCAACCCUUGCCUUUAGUUGCCAGCAGUUCGGCUGGGCACUCUAAAGGGACUGCCGGUGUUAAACCGGAGGAAGGUGGGGAUGACGUCAAGUCCUCAUGGCCUUUAUGACCAGGGCUACACACGUACUACAAUGGCCGAUACAAAGGGCAGCGACACUGCGAGGUGAAGCCAAUCCCGUAAAAUCGGUCUCAGUCCGGAUUGGAGUCUGCAACUCGACUCCAUGAAGUUGGAAUCGCUAGUAAUCGUGGAUCAGCAUGCCACGGUGAAUACGUUCCCGGGCCUU
rnacentral:rRNA from 1 species